rnacentral:rRNA from 1 species
ACGUGAAACUGCCACGAGGUUAAAGCGGAUGUACAUACGCAGCCGAACGGGGGGUCUCAUCUCCUCGAGCCUCCAGGCGCGGUCGCGUUCGGACCGUCGGCGUACGGGCUCCUCGCGGGCUCGGCUCCGUCGAAGGCCGACGCGGCUCGUUUUUUCGGACUAGGAGGACAGGGGGGUGGAUUUCCCUCCUUAGUAGGCAGUCGCGGCCGCUCGAGGGUUGUCCAAGGCUCGGUAGUCGGGAACCGUCCGGCAACUCAAAGCGCCGGCGGGGACGCUACCUUGAUUCUGGCGGACUCUCGGGCGGUGCCGUUGAGAGAGAAGGUUGCGUGGGUAGGCCUGAUAAUACGAGCCUCCCACCCCGUGCGCGGCUGUAAUUGCGAUCGUUCAUCCGUCCCGUCUUGAAACACGGACCAAGGAGUCUAACAUGUGCGCGAGUCAAAGGGUUGGCUAAACCCCAAGGCGCAACGAAAGUGAAAAAAGUUCCGAAACCCCCUUCUUCUUCUCCUCCUCCCGCCUCCCUUCUCGUCCGCGUCGUCGUCGCUUCGGCGGCGGAGUCGGGGCUCAUAGGGGCUGUUGGGUCGAUCCGCGCUCCCUCCGUGGACCGGCGCAGACCCGGGGCUCGCCGCUACCCCUUCGUACCUCCCUUCGCGGGGCUGAUUCGAGGCGGGUGGCGGGCACCUAGAGCGUACAUGCUAGUACCCGAAAGAUGGUGAUCUAUGCUUGGCCAGGAUGAAGCCAGAGGAAACUCUGGUGGAGGUCCGUAGCGAUUCUGACGUGCAAAU